AUUGAACGCUGGCGGCAUGCUUUACACAUGCAAGUCGAACGGCAGCGCGGGCUUCGGCCUGGCGGCGAGUGGCGAACGGGUGAGUAAUGCAUCGGAACGUGCCCAGUAGUGGGGGAUAGCCCGGCGAAAGCCGGAUUAAUACCGCAUACGACCUGAGGGUGAAAGCGGGGGACCGAAAGGCCUCGCGCUAUUGGAGCGGCCGAUGUCGGAUUAGCUAGUUGGUGGGGUAAAGGCUUACCAAGGCGACGAUCCGUAGCUGGUCUGAGAGGACGACCAGCCAAACUGGGACUGAGACACGGCCCAGACUCCUACGGGAGGCAGCAGUGGGGAAUUUUGGACAAUGGGGGCAACCCUGAUCAGCCAUGCCGCGUGCGGGAAGAAGGCCUUCGGGUUGUAAACCGCUUUUGUUCGGGAAGAAAUCCUCUGGGCUAAUACCCCGGGGGGAUGACGGUACCGGAAGAAUAAGCACCGGCUAACUACGUG
rnacentral:rRNA from 1 species